rnacentral:rRNA from 1 species
AUCAAAAACAUGUCUCUUUGUUAGAAAUAAAUAGAGAGUCGGGCCUGCUCGGUGAAUAAAUUGUUUUAACAGCUGCGGUAUUUUAACUGUACUAAGGUAGCAUAAUAAUUUGCCUUAUAAUUUGAGGCUAGAAUGAAUGGUUUGACGAAGGUUAAUCUGUCUCUAUCCUGUUUUUUAGAAUUUAAUUUUUAAAGUGAGAAAGCUUGUAUUAUUUAAGGGGACGAGAAGACCCUAUUGAGCUUGUAAUUUUAUUGUUAUUUAUAAACAUUAUAUGUAAUAACAUAAUAAUUUUAAUUGGGGUGAUUAAGGAAUAAAAUAUUAGAUAAAUAACUUCCUUGAAAAUAAAAUGUUGUUGAAUGAAGUAACCAAUAUUAUUGCUUAUAAGAUAGUUACCAUAGGGAUAACAGCGUAAUUUAUUUAGAGAGUUCUUAUUAAAAAAUGAGAUUGCGACCUCGAUGUUGGAUUAAAGUAACCUUAAGGUGAAGAAGCUUUAGAGGGAAAUCUGUUCGAUUUUUAAAACUUUACGUGACUGAG